CAUAGGCCUAAGUAUUAUGGUACCUUGUUUGGGGGAUAACUAGCAGAAAUAUAGUAUCCCAGACAUUGAGUGGGCAGUUUACAUCUUCCAUGUUAAAAAUGUGAUGAACAGUGUUCAUCUCUUGAGUGCCAAAGGAAGUGUCAUAUUUACAAAGGUUAUGUAAUCCAAUGUUUUAUUUGUAGCUGUGGCAUUUAUUGGAAAUAUUGGUGUGAUUUCAAUAGAAAGUGUUCAGACUCUCA